UUUGGAAAGUNAAAAGUGUAACAAGGUUUCCGUAGGUGAACCUGCGGAAGGAUCAUUA
rnacentral:rRNA from 1 species